GCCUCCUUAGCUCAGUUGGUAGAGCACCGGUCUCCAAAACCGGCCGCGGCGGUUCGAUUCCGUCAGGGGGUGCCA
rnacentral:tRNA from 4 species